GUCGCUGCAAAAUCAGCGGCCGGGUGUAGGAACCCGUUCACAAGAUGCGUAUAAGCACCCGAAAUCUUCGGGUGUUUU
rnacentral:sRNA from 1 species